rnacentral:rRNA from 1 species
AAUCCAUAGGUUAAUGAGGCGAACCGGGGGAACUGAAACAUCUAAGUACCCCGAGGAAAAGAAAUCAACCGAGAUUCCCCCAGUAGCGGCGAGCGAACGGGGAGGAGCCCAGAGCCUGAAUCAGCAUGUGUGUUAGUGGAAGCGUCUGGAAAGGCGCGCGAUACAGGGUGACAGCCCCGUACACAAAAGCGCAUGUGCUGUGAGCUCGAUGAGUAGGGCGGGACACGUGGUAUCCUGUCUGAAUAUGGGGGGACCAUCCUCCAAGGCUAAAUACUCCUGACUGACCGAUAGUGAACCAGUACCGUGAGGGAAAGGCGAAAAGAACCCCGGCGAGGGGAGUGAAAAAGAACCUGAAACCGUGUACGUACAAGCAGUGGGAGCACCCUUCGGGGUGUGACUGCGUACCUUUUGUAUAAUGGGUCAGCGACUUAUAUUCUGUAGCAAGGUUAACCGAAUAGGGGAGCCGGAGGGAAACCGAGUCUUAAUUGGGCGUUAAGUUGCAGGGUAUAGACCCGAAACCCGGUGAUCUAGCCAUGGGCAGGUUGAAGGUUGGGUAACACUAACUGGAGGACCGAACCGACUAAUGUUGAAAAAUUAGCGGAUGACCUGUGGCUGGGGGUGAAAGGCCAAUCAAACCGGGAGAUAGCUGGUUCUCCCCGAAAGCUAUUUAGGUAGCGCCUCGUGAAUUCAUCUCCGGGGGUAGAGCACUGUUUCGGCUAGGGGGCCAUCCCGGCUUACCAACCCGAUGCAAACUGCGAAUACCGGAGAAUGUUAUCACGGGAGACACACGGCGGGUGCUAACGUCCGUCGUGAAGAGGGAAACAACCCAGACCGCCAGCUAAGGUCCCAAAGUCAUGGUUAAGUGGGAAACGAUGUGGGAAGGCCCAGACAGCCAGGAUGUUGGCUUAGAAGCAGCCAUCAUUUAAAGAAAGCGUAAUAGCUCACUGGUCGAGUCGGCCUGCGCGGAAGAUGUAACGGGGCUAAACCAUGCACCGAAGCUGCGGCAGCGAACGUAUCACCCAAGACAACUUUGCGGAGUUGACGAUUGACGGAGCGAAGCGACGUCAAAGCGUUCAUUAAAGUCGAGUUGGCUUAGGGAUACGUUCGUUGGGUAGGGGAGCGUUCUGUAAGCCUGUGAAGGUGUGCUGUGAGGCAUGCUGGAGGUAUCAGAAGUGCGAAUGCUGACAUAAGUAACGAUAAAGCGGGUGAAAAGCCCGCUCGCCGGAAGACCAAGGGUUCCUGUCCAACGUUAAUCGGGGCAGGGUGAGUCGACCCCU